CGGCAGAGGUCUCUGCGGCGCGGUCCUCGGAGACACGCGGCGGUGUCCUGUGUUGGCCAUGGCCGACUACCUGAUUAGUGGGGGCACGUCCUACGUGCCAGACGACGGACUCACAGCACAGCAGCUCUUCAACUGCGGAGACGGCCUCACCUACAAUGACUUUCUCAUUCUCCCUGGGUACAUCGACUUCACUGCAGACCAGGUGGACCUGACUUCUGCUCUGACCAAGAAAAUCACUCUUAAGACCCCACUGGUUUCCUCUCCCAUGGACACAGUCACAGAGGCUGGGAUGGCCAUAGCAAUGGCGCUUACAGGCGGUAUUGGCUUCAUCCACCACAACUGUACACCUGAAUUCCAGGCCAAUGAAGUUCGGAAAGUGAAGGUCAGAAGGGCAAGGAUCAUUAGCAAGCGCUCCUGGGAAUUGCACUGAGGUGGGGUGGGGUGGGAGUAGGGGUUUAUUCUAUUAAUUUAGUAUUCUUUCUUCCCACCGUGGGGUUCAGUUACUGAGAAGACCCUGAGAUUCUGUUUCUUAAAGCAGCAGCAAUAGACCAGGUGUACAGUGCCUCCAGCCUACCCAUGUCUCUAAGAUGUGUUGGUGUGAUUUGGUCUUGUGGCACUGCCAAAGGGAUCAAUAAGCAGAGACCCAUGCUUCAGAUCAAGAGCCUGAUGAAAGUAGUUCAAAGAUGCGAUGCCCUUUCUCACCAUCCCUUUCCAGAAAUAUGAACAGGGAUUCAUCACAGACCCUGUGGUCCUCAGCCCCAA
rnacentral:sRNA from 1 species